rnacentral:tRNA from 1 species
GUGGGUGGCUCAGUGGUUAGAGCCUAGGGCUCGUACCCGAAAGGUUCCGAGUUGGAACCUCGCAAGAGACA